rnacentral:rRNA from 1 species
CGUAGGUGCGAGCGUUAAUCGGAAUUACUGGCGUAAGCGUGCGCAGGCGGUUGUGCAAGACAGAUGUGAAAUCCCCGGGCUCAACCUGGGAAUUGCAUUUGUGACUGCACGGCUAGAGUGUGUCAGAGGGGUAGGAAUUCCACGUGUAGCAGUGAAAUGCGUAGAGAUGUGGAGGAAUACCGAUGGCGAAGGCAGCCCCCUGGGAUAACACUGACGCUCAUGCACGAAAGCGUGGGAGCAAACAGGAUU